AGCCCCUCGAGUGGUGGGGAUGAUUAUUUGGCCUAAAGCGUCCGUAGCCGGCUCGAUAAGUCUCUCGUUAAAUCCAGCGUCCCAAGCGCUGGGCUGCGAGGGAGACUGCCGAGCUAGAGGGUGGGUGAGGUCAGCGGUAUUCCUGGGGUAGGGGCGAAAUCCAUUGAUCCCAGGAGGACCACCAGUGGCGAAGGCUGCUGACUAGGACACGCCUGACGGUCAGGGACGAAAGCUGGGGGAGCGAAUCGGAUUAGAUACCCGAGUAGUCC
rnacentral:rRNA from 1 species